UACGUAGGGGGCAAGGCGUUGUCCGGAUUUACUGGGCGUAAAGAGCGUGUAGGCGGCCAAGCAGGUCCGUUGUGAAAACUGGAGGCUUAACCUCCAGACGUCGACGGAAACCGCGUGGCUAGAGUCCGGAAGAGGAGAGUGGAAUUCCGUGGUGUAGCGGUGAAAUGCGCAGAUAUCAGGAAGAACACCAAUGGCGAAGGCAGCUCUCUGGGACGGUACUGACGCUGAGACGCGAAAGCGUGGGGAGCGAACAGG
rnacentral:rRNA from 1 species